GAAAUGCGAUAAGUAGUGUGAAUUGCAGAAUUCAGUGAAUCAUCGAAUCUUUGAACGCACAUUGCGCCCCUUGGUAUUCCAUGGGGCAUGCCUGUUCGAGCGUCAUUUGUACCUUCAAGCUCUGCUUGGUGUUGGGUGUUUGUCUCGCCUCUGCGCGCAGACUCGCCUCAAAACAAUUGGCAGCCGGCGUAUUGAUUUCGGAGCGCAGUACAUCUCGCGCUUUGCACUCAGAACGACGACGUCCAAAAGUACAUUUUUACACUCUUGACCUCGGAUCAGGUAGGGAUACCCGCUGAACUUAAG
rnacentral:misc_RNA from 1 species